rnacentral:rRNA from 1 species
GGGGAAUAUUGCACAAUGGGCGCAAGCCUGAUGCAGCAACGCCGCGUGAGGGACGACGGCCUUCGGGUUGUAAACCUCUUUUGGCAGGGAAGAAGCGAAAGUGACGGUACCUGCAGAAAAAGCACCGGCUAACUACGUGCCAGCAGCCGCGGUGAUACGUAGGGUGCAAGCGUUGUCCGGAAUUAUUGGGCGUAAAGAGCUCGUAGGCGGUUUGUCGCGUCUGCUGUGAAAACCCGAGGCUCAACCUCGGGCCUGCAGUGGGUACGGGCAAACUAGAGUGCGGUAGGGGAGAUUGGAGUUCCUGGUGUAGCGGUGGAAUGCGCAGAUAUCAGGAGGAACACCGAUGGCGAAGGCAGAUCUCUGGGCCGUAACUGACGCUGAGGAGCGAAAGCAUGGGGAGCGAACA